rnacentral:rRNA from 2 species
GCUGGCGGCGUGCCUAAUACAUGCAAGUCGAACGAACUCUGGUAUUGAUUGGUGCUUGCAUCAUGAUUUACAUUUGAGUGAGUGGCGAACUGGUGAGUAACACGUGGGAAACCUGCCCAGAAGCGGGGGAUAACACCUGGAAACAGAUGCUAAUACCGCAUAACAACUUGGACCGCAUGGUCCGAGCUUGAAAGAUGGCUUCGGCUAUCACUUUUGGAUGGUCCCGCGGCGUAUUAGCUAGAUGGUGGGGUAACGGCUCACCAUGGCAAUGAUACGUAGCCGACCUGAGAGGGUAAUCGGCCACAUUGGGACUGAGACACGGCCCAAACUCCUACGGGAGGCAGCAGUAGGGAAUCUUCCACAAUGGACGAAAGUCUGAUGGAGCAACGCCGCGUGAGUGAAGAAGGGUUUCGGCUCGUAAAACUCUGUUGUUAAAGAAGAACAUAUCUGAGAGUAACUGUUCAGGUAUUGACGGUAUUUAACCAGAAAGCCACGGCUAACUACGUGCCAGCAGCCGCGGUAAUACGUAGGUGGCAAGCGUUGUCCGGAUUUAUUGGGCGUAAAGCGAGCGCAGGCGGUUUUUUAAGUCUGAUGUGAAAGCCUUCGGCUCAACCGAAGAAGUGCAUCGGAAACUGGGAAACUUGAGUGCAGAAGAGGACAGUGGAACUCCAUGUGUAGCGGUGAAAUGCGUAGAUAUAUGGAAGAACACCAGUGGCGAAGGCGGCUGUCUGGUCUGUAACUGACGCUGAGGCUCGAAAGUAUGGGUAGCAAACAGGAUUAGAUACCCUGGUAGUCCAUACCGUAAACGAUGAAUGCUAAGUGUUGGAGGGUUUCCGCCCUUCAGUGCUGCAGCUAACGCAUUAAGCAUUCCGCCUGGGGAGUACGGCCGCAAGGCUGAAACUCAAAGGAAUUGACGGGGGCCCGCACAAGCGGUGGAGCAUGUGGUUUAAUUCGAAGCUACGCGAAGAACCUUACCAGGUCUUGACAUACUAUGCAAAUCUAAGAGAUUAGACGUUCCCUUCGGGGACAUGGAUACAGGUGGUGCAUGGUUGUCGUCAGCUCGUGUCGUGAGAUGUUGGGUUAAGUCCCGCAACGAGCGCAACCCUUAUUAUCAGUUGCCAGCAUUAAGUUGGGCACUCUGGUGAGACUGCCGGUGACAAACCGGAGGAAGGUGGGGAUGACGUCAAAUCAUCAUGCCCCUUAUGACCUGGGCUACACACGUGCUACAAUGGAUGGUACAACGAGUUGCGAACUCGCGAGAGUAAGCUAAUCUCUUAAAGCCAUUCUCAGUUCGGAUUGUAGGCUGCAACUCGCCUACAUGAAGUCGGAAUCGCUAGUAAUCGCGGAUCAGCAUGCCGCGGUGAAUACGUUCCCGGGCCUUGUACACACCGCCCGUCACACCAUGAGAGUUUGUAACACCCAAAGUCGGUGGGGUAACCUUUUAGGAACCAGCCGCCUAAGGUGGGACAGAUGAUUA